CUACGGUGGAUAUAAAAAUUCUACAUACCCGUGUCCAAAUGCCAGGUUUCUGUGAAAUAAAAAGUAGACCAUGAUAAAUAAUUGUCAAGGUUUACAUCCAAG